UUGGAGGAGGGCAACCGUGGCAGGAGAGGGGGACGGCUGCUGGCCUGGGGGUUGCUCCGGGCGAGUUGCUCGAGACGCCGCUUCACGUUUAGACGGACCGGAAGUCUUUCUAUCUUGCUCCAUUCCUACAUUGAGCUCCAUGAAGGUCAAUGAUCUGGAGGCACUGGAGUCACAAAGGCACUAAAGCCUGCCCGCAUGAAGCUUUUUGCAUAAGGCAUCAAAGAAGAUAUCAUUUCUACUGUUAAUGACAGUGUAUUGAGAUCUGAGAUCAGGAUUGCAGUCUCUUUGGACCCUACCCCACAUCCCUCAAAAACUUUACUGAAGUUGAUCUGAAUUUAAGGAAGCAGCAAUACAGUGCUUGGAUGAAAUUCAGCUAAUUGAAAGAAGCAUUUCAGAUGUUAUCACCAUCCAAAACAAUGUGUAUAAAGCCCUGCUACAUCAUAUGACCCUGAAAAUAGCUGGAAUUCUUAUUCUACUAACAAGAGUGUUCACACCCUUCUGAGGAUUUAGCUGUGUUAGCACCCUCAAUGACCAAAGGCUUAGCUGUUUUGAUAGGUUUCCUUGUGCAUCCCAUCUUCUUCUUCAAAGACUCAUUCCAAUUCUUCCGACAUCCUAAAUUAAGCUAUCAAGAUCCACUUGACAUCAAGAGCAGCAGUGUUUACACUAUAUUGAAUUUUUCAGUGUUCUGGCACCUGAGUUUAAGCUAUCUUAGAGGAUCCCCACAUCCAUAUGGGGGUCUUGGAACAUGCCAACUUGCUAUACGUGGCUACCAUGUGGUAUAUUCUGAAAUCUCAUCAAGAUUUCCAACAGAAUUAUCACACUGAAAGGAGGACACUCAGAAGUGAUAUAUUCUAGAGUUUACAUUGGGUCCCAGGUAUGAAGGAACAGUUACAAAUUUAACUAAAACUCUGUGAUACCCAUUCAGUGAAGACACAAUCAUGUAUGAAGGUUCAAGCCCUAAGGCUGUGAUUUAAGAUCUCUGUAACAUAUAAUGCUAGAAAAGAUGCAACUCUUCAGUGGUUGUAUAGGGAUAAUAUAAAAGGGGAGAAAUAAAAAGGUAUAUGCAGUUUCUACUGGAGUGUAUUGAAGUGUCUGAUGUCAUAUGUUUCCAUUAAAGAAUGUUCCUUUGUUUCAUU